rnacentral:rRNA from 1 species
GAUGAACGCUGACAGAAUGCUUAACACAUGCAAGUCAACUUGAAUUUGGGUUUUUAACUUAGGUUUGGGUGGCGGACGGGUGAGUAACGCGUAAAGAACUUGCCUCACAGCUAGGGACAACAUUUGGAAACGAAUGCUAAUACCUAAUAUUAUGAUAAUAGGGCAUCCUAUAAUUAUGAAAGCUAUAAGCGCUGUGAGAGAGCUUUGCGCCCCAUUAGCUAGUUGGAGAGGUAACGGCUCACCAAGGCGAUGAUGGGUAGCCGGCCUGAGAGGGUGAUCGGCCACAAGGGGACUGAGACACGGCCCUUACUCCUACGGGAGGCAGCAGUGGGGAAUAUUGGACAAUGGACCAAGAGUCUGAUCCAGCAAUUCUGUGUGCACGAUGAAGUUUUUCGGAAUGUAAAGUGCUUUCAGUUGGGAAGAAAGAAAUGACGGUACCAACAGAAGAAGUGACGGCUAAAUACGUG